UACGUAGGCAGCAAGCGUUGUUCGGAGUUACUGGGCGUAAAGGGUGUGUAGGCGGUUGUUUAAGUUUGGUGUGAAAUCUCCUGGCUCAACUGGGAGCUUGCAGGCGAAACUGCCGUGCUGGAGUGUGGGAGAGGUGCGUGGAAUUCCUGGUGUAGCGGUGAAAUGCGUAGAUAUCAGGAGGAACACCUGUGGCGAAAGCGGCUCUCUGGAACGGUACUGACGCUGAGACGCGAAAGCGUGGGGAGCGAACAGG
rnacentral:rRNA from 1 species